UACGUAGGGUGCAAGCGUUAAUCGGAAUUACUGGGCGUAAAGCGUGCGCAGGCGGCUUUGCAAGACAGAUGUGAAAUCCCCGGGCUUAACCUGGGAACUGCAUUUGUGACUGCAUGGCUGGAGUGCGGCAGAGGGGGAUGGAAUUCCGCGUGUAGCAGUGAAAUGCGUAGAUAUGCGGAGGGACACUGAUGGCGAAGGCAAUCCCCUGGGCCUGCACUGACGCUCAUGCACGAAAGCGUGGGGAGCAAACAGG
rnacentral:rRNA from 1 species